GAUGAACGCUGGCGGCGUGCCUAAUACAUGCAAGUCGAGCGAACAGACGAGGAGCUUGCUCCUCUGACGUUAGCGGCGGACGGGUGAGUAACACGUGGAUAACCUACCUAUAAGACUGGGAGAACUUCGGGAAACCGGAGCUAAUACCGGAUAAUAUAUUGAACCGCAUGGUUCAAUAGUGAAAGACGGUUUUGCUGUCACUUAUAGAUGGAUCCGCGCCGCAUUAGCUAGUUGGUAAGGUAACGGCUUACCAAGGCGACGAUGCGUAGCCGACCUGAGAGGAUGAUCGGCCACACUGGAACUGAGACACGGUCCAGACUCCUACGGGAGGCAGCAGUAGGGAAUCUUGCGCAAUGGGCGAAAGCCUGACGGAGCAACGCCGCGUGAGUGAUGAAGGUCUUCGGAUCGUAAAACUCUGUUAUUAGGGAAGAACAAAUGUGUAAGUAACUAUGCACGUCUUGACGGUACCUAAUCAGAAAGCCACGGCUAACUACGUG
rnacentral:rRNA from 1 species